UCCCGACCACUCCCCCCCACACCCAUGCACUUUUUUAACUAAAGGUGGGACUGCACCAACCCUUUCUCCCUCUAUUCUCUAGACAGAGCCAGCCCCCAGACUCUGGUUAAGUUCAGAACCUACAUCAAGAUCUGCAGCCCAAACUUUGCCGGCUCAGGCCUGGUGACUAUUUUAAACUUAGGAUAAAGGAGAUUUUAAAAAGCAGCAAUGAAAACAUUUUCUAAACAUGUUUGCAAUCCAAUCAGCCCCUUGGUAAUUUGAUUUGUAGGAAAUGGCAAGUGAGGCACUGCAAGCAGAGGACUGAAGGUACUGAGGUCACUGGGAGUUUUGCCAAGGGCUUCAGUGGGAGCAGGAUUUAGCCCAGAUACCAAGGAAUGAAAGACCCUCCUAGACCAGUGAAUUUGUCAGUUCUCAACAGUAAAGGAAGGUAAGGAGAGUGUUGAAUAUGAGCCCACGAGAAAGGGAAGGAGGAAGAACCAGAAGCCCUGGAAACAACCACAAUGAUAACCUGAACUUUCAAAUGUCUUUCCCUGGAAAGAAGAAUCGAGAGCUAAACAACAUCCCGGCAACGCCUGCAUCCUCUCAAAAAUGUCAAAGCCAGGGGGAUUUUUUUUUUGGCUACUCGAAUCCUGUGUUUAGCAGCAAGUUAAUGUCACAAGGCUUUGGCUAAUACCAGUGCUGCCCCCCUCUAAUUUCCAUAUCUGAGUGGCAGAUCCCUGGAAUCUGCCUUCUGCCUUUAGCCUGACCUCAGCCUACAAACGCAAACUAUAUUUAACAUGUCGAUUGUAAUGAAAUGUGCGUUUGAGUCGUGUCCCCACCCCAUCCACCUCCUCGCUGUGUUUUAAAGGCAGGAUGCUGUCAGAUGGUAACAGGUUUGUUCAGAGACACCCGCGCGCGCGCACACAGACAUAUGACAGUUUUAUUCUGAAAUCCUGAUUGAAGACAGAAACACUCCCUGGGCUAAAGUCAGCCAUCGCAGCUCCUAUUGGCUUCAAUGGGAGAUGAUUCCCCCUUUACACUGGAGCUGAAUUUGGCCCUUUGUUUGGACAGAUACUUGUCUUCUGUUAAUAACACUUCCUUUUGUCACCCUUUCCUCUGUUGGGCUUGCAACAAUCAGAUGUCCCUGGAGGAAUGUUGGCACUUGCAGCUAUAGGGUGUUUUGCUUUUCAGAGCUUCACCCUAAACUCAAAACCAGCUGCAUCAGAACCAAUCUGGGCUCCCCUUCCCUCCAAUGAAAACCCCCAUAUGAUUACACCACAAACCUGUGUCAGGUCUUUCAACAAACAGGCUCUUUGAUUUCUCUACCAUCCCUUUAGUUGUGGUGAUCCGAGUAUUCUAAACUUGGAAACAUCUACCCAGGGUCAGGCUUAGGGUGGACAUGAAUUCAAGCCACAGACCUGAUACUCUGAAAACAACAAGCUUUCAAAACAUCCGAUUUAAAAAAUAAUAAUAAUUACAGCCUAAACAUGCUUUCCAAAACUUGUUGGCAUCCUAAAGCUUCUAGGAUAAUCAGAAGCUCAGGAUGGCCUUUCAUCCACUCUAGAUACUGCUAUGAAGAAUAGAUUUGCAGUUUAUAAUCUUUGUUGUGCAGAUUUUAAAACUGCAGCAUUAUAGCCUGGUAGGAGGUUCAGUCCCAUAGUCCAGGGACUGCUGGUCUUCCCCUUUGGAGACCUGCUUCCACAUCUGCUCCAGGCCUUAACUGCAAUGAGUUUUUGUGAUCUCAGCCUAGUCUGUCCUGUACAUCUGUCCACAUAAAAAAUCCCAGCCAUGACAUUUGUCAUGACUGCUUGUCACCAGGCCUGGUAGCAAAACACAGAGGGUGCUGCAUAUCAGGACUGAAGGGACUGGCACAGCUAUAAAGAGGAUGGAGGGCUAGGAGAGCAGAGGAUGCUGCAGGUUAGAACCAAGGGGCGUUGGAUUAUUUAUGUGACACAGCUUUUCCUUGCUACCCUCAGUCAGGGGAGCCUGGGACUAGAAUAAGGGUUUGGCAGGCUGGGGCUGAGGUGGAUGGGCAGAGCAGGGGGACAAGGGGAGCCCUGGGUACCUCCCACACAACCACCACUUGGCUGUCCCCAGCACUAUCAUUCCUUCAUUUCCAAUUCCCUAAAUCAAAUUCCCACAAAUCCGGAAAGGGGAAGUGGGGUGAGAAUCCAACUUCUCCAUUUACCCUAUUGUAAGAAGAUGACUGUGUAUAUCAUUCAUGUACACUGAAAUAUCAUUGUCUAGGAGAGCCCCACACAUGAGCAAUCAGAAGGCUAUAAUUGCAGACAUAAGUUUGACAAUAAACAGUUUUACUGGUAUCUAUUGAAUGCAUUCCCAUUAUACGCAUGGUGCUGUACAGUAAAUGUCUAUAACCGUC